GAUAUCAGGUAAUCCCCAUUUAAAAUGUCUUCUGUUCUAAAAGUGCUGCUUUUAUUUUUCUACUAGGUAUCUGGUUGGCUGGAUAUAUGGCUGGUUUUGCCACUCCCUCUCCAUCAUGCUGGGAAGCAUUUUGGCUGCAAAAGAAUCAGACAGCCCUCAGGAGGCAGUUGUUCAGCUCAGAGCCUGAAAAAGUGAGAAUAAAAGAAGCAAAGGCCAUACCAAAGUUACACAGACACCAGCUGAGGAAGGACACAUUGUUGAGAGAGACUUUGCUGCACCUGUAGCCUAAUCCAGGACACUUGCUGCUCCCACUGACACCUAGUCAAGGCUUUUG
rnacentral:lncRNA from 1 species